AAAAGUUGGAAACCUAGGAACGGAGUGAAUUUCAGUGAAUUUUAAAAUUGAACAAAACAUCAACUAACUCUAAUUUUUCUUUCGAGCUCUUCUACACAAUAUAAGCCGAAAUAAUAUAUUUUUUUGGUGUAAACUUUUGAAUAUGAAGCACUACAUUGUAUUUUUGUUAUUGUUAGGAGCUAAUGAAUGUUUAGCUACAUGGUGCUACCAGUGUACAGCGGCUACUCCUGGUUGUAAUGAGCCUUUUAAUUGGCGUGGAAUGGGAUAUCUUGGCAAUCCAUGUCCCGAAAGUGAGGAUGUUUGUGUUAAACUUAUUGAAAGGAAAGGAGCACAAGAAGUUAUUACAAGGGAUUGUUUAAGCAAUUUUAGAGCUUUCCGAACCGAUAUUCCUGCUGAUACAUAUGAAGGAUGUCGUCCUGCUGCUAAAGAUUUAAAUCUUGCUCAUUAUGUCAAUAAUAGUAUAAAAGAGAUUGAUGUUAAAAGAAAUUGGUACGAUGAAACCAUAUGGUGCUUCUGUUUUCUGGACCACCGCUGUAACAAUGCAUCGAAUACAUUUGUUUCAAUAGCGUUGCUAAUGUUAUCCGGUGCUACUAUAUUGUUCAACAAAAUAUUGUUCUGAUAUCCCUGAUGUAGUGUUGACUACAAAAUGCAGAGCAAGCACUAGCUGGAUAGUAGAAAAUCGGAUUGGUCACAACCAAAAACGCUCUAGACGUUUUUCCGGCAUAAGCUAAAAACUGAGUUCGUAGUGAACAGUCUGUGAUUGCUCGUAGAUUUGCAUUAGUACAUAUUACAUUGAAAUAUGAGACAUCACAUGAUCUGUGAAGUAAACGUCGUUCUGGUACUUUUGUAUUGUAUUUUAUUGAUACUUUUUUAUAGUAUUAACGAAUUAUAAGUGCAAGUAAAAUAUGUAUAUAAUGUUGAAGAACUCAGACUUUCAGUAAAAGAUGGCAAUACACUGCAUCUUGCU